GCCUUCGUGGUGUAGUGGUCAGCACGCUCGACACGAAUUUCAGAGGUCCGUGGUUCGAGUCCCGGCGAGGGCA
rnacentral:tRNA from 1 species